rnacentral:rRNA from 1 species
AUGGCAUCCUCCUCUUCUAUCCUUCUCUUUGCUGCUCUUAUUGCACUGGUCUCAUGGCAGGCCACUGCCUCUGAUCCUAGCCCACUCCAGGACUUUUGCGUCGCCGACCUGCAUUCACCAGUGCGUGUCAAUGGGUUUGUUUGCAAGAACCCGAUGGAAGUUAACGCAGACGACUUCUUCAAGGCAGCCAACCUCGACAAGCCUAGGGUGACCAACAAGAGCUAA